AAUAGAUACCCUGGUAGUCCACGCCGUAAACGAUGGAUACUAGCUGUUAGGGGUAUCGACCCCCUUAGUAGCGAAGCUAACGCGUUAAGUAUCCCGCCUGUGGAGUACGGCCGCAAGGCUAAAACAUAAAGGAAUUGACGGGGACCCGCACAAGUAGUGGAUCGUGUUCCUUAAUUCGAUGCUAAACGGAGAACCUUACCAGGACUUGACAUCCUUGGAAUGACUGCGAAAGUAGUCAGUGCUUUAUUGAACCAAGUGACAGGUGUUGCAUGGCCGUCGUCAGCUCGUGUCGUGAGAUGUUUGGUUAAGUCCAUCAACGAGCGCAACCCUUAUAGUUAGUUGGAUUUUUCUAGCUAGACUGCCUCGGCAACGGGGAGGAAGGAGGGGAUGAUGUCAGGUCAGUAUUACCCUUACGUCCUGGGCUAGAAACACGAUACAAUGGCUGGUACAAUGCGCAGCGAAGCCGCGAGGUGGAGCAAAUCGCAUCAAAGCCAGUCUCAGUUCGGAUUGCAGGCUGAAACUCGCCUGC
rnacentral:rRNA from 1 species